rnacentral:rRNA from 1 species
GACGAACGCUGGCGGCGUGCUUAACACAUGCAAGUCGAACGGUAAGGCUCCAGCUUGCUGGGGUACACGAGUGGCGAACGGGUGAGUAACACGUGGGUGACCUGCCCUGCACUUUGGGAUAAGCCUGGGAAACUGGGUCUAAUACCGGAUAGGACCAUGGUGUGGAUACUGUGGUGGAAAGUUUUUUCGGUGUGGGAUGGGCCCGCGGCCUAUCAGCUUGUUGGUGGGGUAAUGGCCUACCAAGGCGGCGACGGGUAGCCGGCCUGAGAGGGUGGACGGCCACAUUGGGACUGAGACACGGCCCAGACUCCUACGGGAGGCAGCAGUGGGGAAUAUUGCACAAUGGGCGGAAGCCUGAUGCAGCGACGCCGCGUGGGGGAUGACGGCCUUCGGGUUGUAAACUCCUUUCACCAUCGACGAAGGGUUUCUGACGGUAGAUGGAGAAGAAGCACCGGCUAACUACGUG